UACAGAGGGUGCAAGCGUUAAUCGGAAUUACUGGGCGUAAAGCGUGCGUAGUCGGUCAUUUAAGUCGGGUGUGAAAUCCCCGGGCUCAACCUGGGAAUUGCAUUCGAUACUGGAUGGCUAGAGUUCGGCAGAGGGAAGCGGAAUUUCCGGUGUAGCGGUGAAAUGCGUAGAUAUCGGAAGGAACAUCAGUGGCGAAAGCGGCUUCCUGGACCAGAACUGACGAUCAGGCACGAAAGCGUGGGGAGCAAACAGG
rnacentral:rRNA from 1 species